rnacentral:siRNA from 1 species
UUGAUGUAAAGUUGCAAUGCCA